AAUUGUUCAUUCAAGGAUAUU
rnacentral:miRNA from 1 species